AAACAAGACAUUGCCAACAGCUGCCCGGUAGCUGUAGACACCCAAAAGUCCAAGGGCGAGGGCAACCUUUGAGACCCACGAGCACCGUCUUUGAACCAGCAGCCAUGUGCUUUGUCCUCUCUAUACCAUUCUGACUGUACGCUCAGGGAUGGAGAUGUGCUCCACAUGCCUGUGCCAGGAACAGGCCGUGACACGUGAUUGGUUUAGGGGCAAGGAGGAAGCUCACCUGUUAAGCCAGUGUCCAACAUCUGGAAGAUGAGCCCACUGCACACCGGUCUGAUUAAGGGAUCGCAGCAGCCGGCAGCACAACAGUAUGAAGGGGGGUGUGGCCAGCGAAAGCCACU